rnacentral:rRNA from 1 species
UGGCUCAGAACGAACGCUGGCGGCGUGCUUAACACAUGCAAGUCGAACGAACCUUCGGGUUAGUGGCGGACGGGUGAGUAACGCGUGAGAAUCUGCCCUCAGGAGGGGGAUAACGGUUGGAAACGGCCGCUAAUACCCCAUAUGCCGCGAGGUGAAAUGAAUUUCGCCUGAGGAUGAGCCCGCGUCUGAUUAGCUAGUUGGUGGGGUAAAGGCCUAGCAAGGCGACGAUCAGUAGCUGGUCUGAGAGGAUGAUCAGCCACACUGUGCCUGAGACACGGACCAGACUCCUACGGG